AUUAAAUGUUUAUAAAAAAGCAGUAGAGCCCUAACCGGGUUGAUUCAGUGGAUAGAGCGUCAGCCUGCAGACGCAAGGGUCCCAGGUUCGAAUCCGGUCAAGGGCAUGUACCUUGGU